rnacentral:rRNA from 1 species
GAAUUCCCGUUGAUCCUGCGGGAGGUCGCUGCUAUCAGGGUUCGAUUUAGCCAUGCAAGUCAGGGGGUCUUCGGACCACCGGCGAAAUGCUCAGUAACACGUUGUUAAUCUGCCCUUGGGUGGAGGAUAAGCUCGGGAAACUGAGUCUAAAACUCCAUAGGUGAUCUACGCUGGAAUGCAUGAUCACUCAAACGGAAGGCCUAAGGAUGAGACAGCGGCGGAUUAGGUUGUUGGCGGGGUAAUGGCCCACCAAGCCGAUGAUCCGUAGGGGCCUUGAGAGAGGGAGCCCCGAGAAGGGAACUGAGAUACUGUCCCUAGCCCUACGGGGUGCAGCAGGCGCGAAACCUUUACAAUGCACGAAAGUGUGAUAAGGGGACCCUGAGUGCUACAGUGUACGCUGUGGCUUUUGCCAAGAGUAAAUAUCUUGGAGAAUAAGUGGUGGGUAAGACUGGUGCCAGCCGCCGCGGUAACACCAGCGCCACGAGUGGGGACCGUUUUUAUUGGGCCUAAAGCGUCCGUAGCAGGUUGAGAAAGUCCCCUGUGAAAUUGACCAUCUCAAGUGGUCAGCGUGCAAGGGAUACUACUCGACUAGGGACCGGGAGGAGUAAGAGGUAUUGCUGGGGGAGCGGUAAAAUGUUAUAAUCCCAGUAGGACCACCGAUCGCGAAGGCAUCUUACUAGAACGGAUCCGACUGUGAGGGACGAAAGCCAGGGGAGCGAACCGGAUUAGAUACCCGAGUAGUCCUGGCCGUAAACGCUGUGAGUUAGAUGUUGCAUACGUUACGAGCGUGUGCAGUAUCGUAGGGAAGCCGUUAAACUCACCGCCUGGGAAGUAUGGUCGCAAGGCUGAAACUUAAAGGAAUUGGCGGGGGAGCACUACAAGGGGUGCGGCGUGCGGUUUAAUUUAACUCCACACAGAGAAUCUCACCAGGAGCGACGGCAGGAUGACGGUCAGUCUGAAGGGCUUACUUGACGAGCCGAGAGGUGGUGCAUGGCCGACGUCAGCUCGUGCCGUAAGGUGUCCAGCUAAGUCUGGUAACGAGCGAGACCUGUGCCUACUAUUGCCAGCAAGUCCUACGGGAUGAUUGGGCACAUUGUAGGGACUGCCUUCGAAAGGAGGAGGAAGGUGCAGGCAACGUUAGGUCUGUAUGCCCCGAAUCUUCUGGGCUACACGCGCGCAACAAUGGUUGGGACAAUGGGCUGCUACUCCGAGAGGAGACGCUAAUCCUCGAAACCCAAUCGUAGUCUAGAUUGUGGGUUGUAACUCACCCACAUGACAUCGGAAUCCCUAGUAAUCGGGUGUUAUCAGCGCCCGGUGAAUACGUCCCUGCUCCUUGCACACACCGCCCGUCAAACCACUCGAGCAGGGUUUAGGGGAGGCUCACCUUUUUUGGGUGAUUCGAACCUAAGCUCAGUGAGAAGGGUUAAGUCGUCACAAGGUAUCCGUAGGGGAACCUGCGGAUGGAUCACCUCCUUU